ensembl:lncRNA
AGCUGUUUCAUUAAUUACAGCAGAAUUAAUUAUUAGUGGUUGAGAAUCAGGAUAUUAAUCCUCUAAGUUCUCAGUGUUGGUGUAUUCACUGGAAACAUCAGCAGGCUUCCAGAGGUGCAGAUAUUCAAGUGAAAAUUCCACUUCCCUGGAUGCUGUGGCAUGCUCAGGUUAAUUUUACUCAGGAAUAAACACAAAUGUGUUUACCUGUGAAUGAAACGGAGGUCAAAAACAUCAGAUGACAUCAAGCUUAAAAUCCAAGCAGCCAGUGAGUCACAACACCCCAGGGUAGUUGUUGAACACUACAGGAGUGGGGCCUACAGACCCUUUCAGCAGCAAAUGGUUCUAUGAAGACAGAUCUCCACUCCUUCAGCACCCCAUAAAGAACUGUGGAAAAUGAGGCAGGAGACUGGGGAGUAGCAGGCUGACUGGGGAAGUAGGCAUGAGGUGUUAAUUACAAAAUCCCAGGACACGUGGAGAAAGAACAGUUCCCAAAGGCCUGCGUGUGGACUUCUCAGGAGAACUCGAGCAGUUUUGGAUAGGACAGCCCAGACCCGAGGUCAGCCUGCAGACUGGGUGGUACAAAAAGGACAGUCACCACUGAUCUCUGGGAUAUUGUGUUUGUCUCAAGUAAUUCUCUCUCGUACUGUAGAGCACUUUUUCUCAUACGUUAUUUGGUGCAAACUCCCUCUGCAGAGCACGUUUCUUUUCCUACCUUUAAUAAAUGUGAAACCUCACUACCUUUUGCACUUGUCUUGAC